rnacentral:rRNA from 1 species
UACGUAGGGCGCAAGCGUUUGUCCGGAAUUAUUGGGCGUAAAGAGCUCGUAGGCGGUCUAUCGCGUCUGUUGUGAAAACUCGAGGCUCAACCUCGGGCUUGCAGUGGAUACGGGCAGACUAGAGUGCGGGUAGGGGGAGACUGGAAUUCCGUGGUGUAGCGGUGGAAUGCGCAGAUAUCAAGAGGAACACCUGAGGUGAAGACGGGUUGCUGGGCUGACACUGACGCUGAGGCGCGAAAGCCAGGGGAGCAAACGGG